rnacentral:rRNA from 1 species
GGCUUAGAGUUUGAUCAUGGCUCAGGACGAACGCUGGCGGCGCGCCUAACACAUGCAAGUCGAAUGUAGUUUACUACAUGGCGGACGGGUGAGUAACGCGUGAGCAAUCUGCCCAUAUCUGGGGGAUAACAGUUGGAAACGACUGAUAAUACCGCAUGAUAUCGUUUGAAGGCAUCUUCUUACGAUCAAAGAUUUAUCGGAUAUGGAUGAGCUCGCGUCUGAUUAGCUAGUUGGUGAGGUAACGGCCCACCAAGGCGACGAUCAGUAGCCGACCUGAGAGGGUGAUCGGCCACAUUGGAACUGAGACACGGUCCAAACUCCUACGGGAGGCAGCAGUGGGGAAUAUUGGGCAAUGGAGGAAACUCUGACCAGCAACGCCGCGUGAAUGAUGAAGGUCUUCGGAUUGUAAAGUUCUUUUCUAAGGGAAGAAGAAAGUGACGGUACCUUAGGAAUAAGCCUCGGCUAACUACGUGCCAGCAGCCGCGGUAAUACGUAGGAGGCAAGCGUUAUCCGGAAUGACUGGGCGUAAAGGGUGCGUAGGUGGUUUAGCAAGUUGGCAGCGUAACUCCGAGGCUCAACCUCGGCACUACUGCCAAAACUGUUGAACUUGAGUGCAGGAGGGGCAAUUG